UAAUUAUAGAACACGGAAAUUGUUAGCACGGUAUAUAAACUGUGCAAUCUGAGAUAAACUUAUCAUCUAACAGCUUGCUUGAAACACUUGAAAUCGUAAGAUAGCUAUACAAGGUACAUCACCAACAAACAUGAAAUCUGUAUACAUCGCACUCUUGAUGGCCUGUGUCCUGGUCUCCGUUGUCCAAGGUCAGUGGGGUGGCUACUACGGGGGUGGUGGAAACUACUACGGUGGACACGGACUGGGAGGUGGAUAUUACGGGGGUGGAUUGAUCGGUGGCGGACUCGGCGGAUGGAAUUCCGGAUUUGGACGACUCGGUGGCGGCGGACUUUUGGGUCUUGGACGUAGAAGUCUCGGUAGAAGAGGAUAUUAUUAAUUUUUAUGUGAAAAACUCACAAACUUCAGUCAUGAUCAUCCAACAACACCCAUUUUGAACUUUUUGAUAAUUAAUCAUUAUUUAAUAUCAUUUUUAGUGUGAAUGUUGAAUGUUUUGUUACCGCCUAUUGUCUUAAAUUGCAUGUAUUGAAGCAAAUACUCCCACACCUGUCCAUGUGAUUCUGCUACAAUAUGUUAUGACAUUUUACUUUUUAAUAACUUGUUUUUGAUUUGAAUAAAAUAUUUAAAACAAUUGAAAACAA